GACGAACGCUGGCGGAGGGAGGAACACAUGCAAGUCGAACGGAAAGGCCUCGUUCGGGGGGUACUCGAGUGGCGAACGGGUGAGUAACACGUGAGUAACCUGCCCUUGACUUUGGGAUAACUUCAGGAAACUGGGGCUAAUACCGGAUAGGAGCUCCUGCUGCAUGGUGGGGGUUGGAAAGUUUCGGCGGUUGGGGAUGGACUCGCGGCUUAUCAGCUUGUUGGUGGGGUAGUGGCUUGCCAAGGCUUUGACGGGUAGCCGGCCUGAGAGGGUGACCGGCCACAUUGGGACUGAGGUACGGCCCAGACUCCUACGGGAGGCAGCAGUGGGGAAUAUUGCACAAUGGGUGGAAGCCUGAUGCAGCAACGCCGUGUGCGGGAUGACGGCCUUCGGGUUGUAAACCGCUUUCGCUCAUGACGAAGCUUUGUGUGACGGUAGUGGGUAAAGAAGCACCGGCUAACUACGUG
rnacentral:rRNA from 1 species